rnacentral:rRNA from 1 species
UUUGGUGGGGGUGGGAUUCCUUUGGAUUGAUGGACAGUCAGUAAUGAUUGUUCUCGGUCAGAGAUUCAACUCUUGGCCUGCCCUUUUGGGGUGGGUUGAACCAGUUUUUUUGGAGAGUUUGAUCCUGGCUCAGGACGAACGCUGGCGGCGUGCUUAACACAUGCAAGUCGAACGAUGAUCUGGCAGCUUGCUGCUGGGGAUUAGUGGCGAACGGGUGAGUAACACGUGAGUAACCUGCCCUGGACUCUGGGAUAACCCCGAGAAAUCGGAGCUAAUACCGGAUAGGACCUGGAACCGCAUGGUUUUGGGUGGAAAGUUUUUCGGUCUGGGAUGGACUCGCGGCCUAUCAGCUUGUUGGUGAGGUAAUGGCUCACCAAGGCGUCGACGGGUAGCCGGCCUGAGAGGGUGACCGGCCACACUGGGACUGAGACACGGCCCAGACUCCUACGGGAGGCAGCAGUGGGGAAUAUUGCACAAUGGGCGCAAGCCUGAUGCAGCAACGCCGCGUGAGGGAUGACGGCCUUCGGGUUGUAAACCUCUUUUAGUAGGGAAGAAGGGCUUCGGCUUGACGGUACCUGCAGAAAAAGCACCGGCUAACUACGUGCCAGCAGCCGCGGUAAUACGUAGGGUGCGAGCGUUGUCCGGAAUUAUUGGGCGUAAAGAGCUCGUAGGCGGUUUGUCACGUCUGCUGUGAAAUCCCGAGGCUCAACCUCGGGCCUGCAGUGGGUACGGGCAGACUGGAGUGCGGUAGGGGAGAAUGGAAUUCCUGGUGUAGCGGUGGAAUGCGCAGAUAUCAGGAGGAACACCGAUGGCGAAGGCAGUUCUCUGGGCCGUAACUGACGCUGAGGAGCGAAAGCGUGGGGAGCGAACAGGAUUAGAUACCCUGGUAGUCCACGCCGUAAACGUUGGGCGCUAGAUGUGGGGACCUUUCCACGGUUUCCGUGUCGUAGCUAACGCAUUAAGCGCCCCGCCUGGGGAGUACGGCCGCAAGGCUAAAACUCAAAGGAAUUGACGGGGGCCCGCACAAGCGGCGGAGCAUGCGGAUUAAUUCGAUGCAACGCGAAGAACCUUACCAAGGCUUGACAUAACCGAGAACGCCGCAGAAAUGUGGAACUCUUUGGACACUCGGUUACAGGUGGUGCAUGGUUGUCGUCAGCUCGUGUCGUGAGAUGUUGGGUUAAGUCCCGCAACGAGCGCAACCCUCGUCGUAUGUUGCCAGCACGUCAUGGUGGGAACUCAUAUGAGACUGCCGGGGUCAACUCGGAGGAAGGUGGGGAUGACGUCAAAUCAUCAUGCCCCUUAUGUCUUGGGCUUCACGCAUGCUACAAUGGCCGGUACAAAGGGCUGCGAUGUCGUAAGGCGGAGCGAAUCCCAAAAAGCCGGUCUCAGUUCGGAUUGAGGUCUGCAACUCGACCUCAUGAAGUCGGAGUCGCUAGUAAUCGCAGAUCAGCAACGCUGCGGUGAAUACGUUCCCGGGCCUUGUACACACCGCCCGUCAAGUCAUGAAAGUCGGUAACACCCGAAGCCGGUGGCCUAACCCUUGUGGAGGGAGCCGUCGAAGGUGGGAUCGGUGAUUAGGACUAAGUCGUAACAAGGUAGCCGUACCGGAAGGUGCGGCUGGAUCACCUCCUUUCU